GUCUGUAAAAUUAUUACCUGUUGAAUCUUAUUCGGAGGCGAUUUCGAAGCUUUUGAAGACCAACAGGCCCAUAGCAACAGUAUUCGGUGUUGUUAAGUUGAGAAUUUUUGAUGAUUGCUGGGCGCACGGUUCUGAAGUGUGGCCUGGUAAAUAGACUAAAUAGAUUCCAAAAUAAAUUUUAAACGAGUCAUAUUUAUCAAAAUCUAGUGCGUUAUUAUUGUUUCAAAAUGCAUUUCUAUUCGAGUUUUCUCUCUUUGUCAUCAUAUCUACAAUAAGACUGACUCUCGCGAUAGAUUAUAAGCUUAUUAUUUGUUAAGCUUCAUUUGUUUGAUGGAAACUGCUAAUUUAGAAAAAAAAAAAUGACUGACUAGUUUUUGUUUGCGUUAACAUUGUAGUAGGGAUAGUAGUGAUGAUUGCUGAUCUCGAUGAAAUUGUGAAAAAAAUGGUUGUUGAUAUGAAUAUGGUGAUGUUGUGUGGUUAUGCAAGUGUUAGUGAAAGGUUAAUACACAAGUUGGUAUUGGUGGUAUAGACAUAGUGACAGAAGAAGCUAGGUAAAAGAUAAAGUUGAUUUAAAUGGGAUGGGAACAUGGUCGUAGUGAGUAUGAAGAAUGAAAUGCAAUAUUGAGUGAGGUGCUAGAAGUGGGAAUCAUUUUAUAAUUAUACUAGAAAUAAUGUAAAAUAUUCGGUACAUGUCCAAUGAAAGCUAGUAGAAAUGUCGGUUCUUAUAUGAUAUAUAACAGCGCUGUUUUGAAGAUCGAUUCAUUGUGUGUGUGUUCAUGACUGUAAAUAAGAUAUUUGUGAUGACAGGGAUAAUAGUAAUUAUGAUAGUGAUGGUGGUGAAAACGAUAAUAAGUGAUGCUACCGGGAUUAUUUUAUAGAAAACUAUUUGAAUUAGAGCUAAAAUUAGAGUUAUUUGAAUCAGGCCUUAACAGUGACCAUUUGAGCAACGUAGCUUAGAAACGUCUGUUAAUGAUCAAAAAUAGAGGCUCGUAGAAGCAAAUUUAAUUACCGGAUCAACAGGAAUAGACCUAGUGUUAAGUUGGAGUGAUGAGUGAUAGUUAUAAUGGUGAAAACGGUGAUCAGUUAUGUUAUUGAAGGGGACUAUUUAAUAAAACUAUUUGGAUCAGGCCUAAAACAGUGACCAUUUGAGCAACGUGGCUUAGGAACGUCUGUUAUUGAUCUAAAGUAGAGGCUCAUAGAAGCAAAUUUAAUUACCGUGGGGAAUAACAAGGAUGGACCCGGAGUAGAGUUUGAGUCGAGAGACUGCCAACGGGUUACAUGGAAAAAAAAAAAAAAAAAAAAAAAAAUCAAUCAAA